rnacentral:sRNA from 1 species
GCGCAGGGACUGGCGGGACUGCGCGGCGGCUGGCGGGACUGCGCGGCGGCAACAGCAGACAUGUCGCGGGUCCGGGGCCUGUCGCGGCUGCUGAGCGCUCGGCGCCUGGCGCUGGCCAAGGCGUGGCCAGCAGUGUUGCAAACAGGAACCCGAGGUUUUCACUUCACUGUUGAUGGGAACAAGAGGGCAUCUGCUAAAGUUUCAGAUUCCAUUUCUGCUCAGUAUCCAGUAGUGGAUCAUGAAUUUGAUGCAGUGGUGGUAGGCGCUGGAGGGGCAGGCUUGCGAGCUGCAUUUGGCCUUUCUGAGGCAGGGUUUAAUACAGCAUGUGUUACCAAGCUGUUUCCUACCAGGUCACACACUGUUGCAGCGCAGGGAGGAAUCAAUGCUGCUCUGGGGAACAUGGAGGAGGACAACUGGAGGUGGCAUUUCUACGACACCGUGAAGGGCUCCGACUGGCUGGGGGACCAGGAUGCCAUCCACUACAUGACGGAGCAGGCCCCCGCCGCCGUGGUCGAGCUAGAAAAUUAUGGCAUGCCGUUUAGCAGAACUGAAGAUGGGAAGAUUUAUCAGCGUGCAUUUGGUGGACAGAGCCUCAAGUUUGGAAAGGGCGGGCAGGCCCAUCGGUGCUGCUGUGUGGCUGAUCGGACUGGCCACUCGCUAUUGCACACCUUAUAUGGAAGGUCUCUGCGAUAUGAUACCAGCUAUUUUGUGGAGUAUUUUGCCUUGGAUCUCCUGAUGGAGAACGGGGAGUGCCGUGGUGUCAUCGCACUGUGCAUAGAGGACGGGUCCAUCCAUCGCAUAAGAGCAAAGAACACUGUUGUUGCCACAGGAGGCUACGGGCGCACCUACUUCAGCUGCACGUCUGCCCACACCAGCACUGGCGACGGCACGGCCAUGAUCACCAGGGCAGGCCUUCCUUGCCAGGACCUCGAGUUUGUUCAGUUCCACCCCACAGGCAUAUAUGGUGCUGGUUGUCUCAUUACGGAAGGAUGUCGUGGAGAGGGAGGCAUUCUCAUUAACAGUCAAGGCGAAAGGUUUAUGGAGCGAUACGCCCCUGUCGCGAAGGACCUGGCGUCUAGAGAUGUGGUGUCUCGGUCGAUGACUCUGGAGAUCCGAGAAGGAAGAGGCUGUGGCCCUGAGAAAGAUCACGUCUACCUGCAGCUGCACCACCUACCUCCAGAGCAGCUGGCCACGCGCCUGCCUGGCAUUUCAGAGACAGCCAUGAUCUUCGCUGGCGUGGACGUCACGAAGGAGCCGAUCCCUGUCCUCCCCACCGUGCAUUAUAACAUGGGCGGCAUUCCCACCAACUACAAGGGGCAGGUCCUGAGGCACGUGAAUGGCCAGGAUCAGAUUGUGCCUGGCCUGUACGCCUGUGGGGAGGCCGCCUGUGCCUCGGUACAUGGUGCCAACCGCCUUGGGGCAAACUCGCUCUUGGACCUGGUUGUCUUUGGUCGGGCAUGUGCCCUGAGCAUCGAAGAGUCAUGCAGGCCUGGAGAUAAAGUCCCUCCAAUUAAACCAAACGCUGGGGAAGAAUCUGUCAUGAAUCUUGACAAAUUGAGAUUUGCUGAUGGAAGCAUAAGAACAUCGGAACUGCGACUCAACAUGCAGAAGUCAAUGCAAAAUCAUGCUGCCGUGUUCCGUGUGGGAAGCGUGUUGCAAGAAGGUUGUGGGAAAAUCAGCAAGCUCUAUGGAGACCUAAAGCACCUGAAGACGUUCGACCGGGGAAUGGUCUGGAACACGGACCUGGUGGAGACCCUGGAGCUGCAGAACCUGAUGCUGUGUGCGCUGCAGACCAUCUACGGAGCAGAGGCGCGGAAGGAGUCACGGGGCGUGCAUGCCAGGGAAGACUACAAGGUGGGCCUUCUCACCACACCCACCUGCACCUGCCUUUUCCUGCCACCUGGUGGGACUCAGCCCCACCCCUGCAUUUUCUCUGCAUUUUCUUUCGUUGCCCCAAAAGUAAAUCCAAAAAAUGCCUUUUUCCCCCCUGGUAACUUUGAUCCCUGGGUUCUCGCCAUCUUCUGGAUCACUGUGACCUUUUCCUUGCUUUGGGUCUGCAUCCACUGAUGCCAGCAGUGGCAUCUCCAAGCCAAUGUGCUUUGCUGUUAGAAGGCCAAGGUUAGAAGUGCAGCUAGAGUGGCAAGACCAGGAAAUAAAUACCAGUUUAUUAAAUAACGAGUAAGCCACCAUUUCAAGCCUGCCCUGUGGAGGAAAUGCCAGUUUAUUAAAUAACGAGUAAGCCACCGUUUC